rnacentral:tRNA from 6 species
GGGGCGUUAGCUCAGCGGUAGAGCAGUUGGCUUUUAACCAAUUGGUCGAUGGUUCGAAUCCAUCACGCCCCACCA